AACGCUAGCUACAGGCUUAACACAUGCAAGUCGAGGGGCAGCAUGAACUUAGCUUGCUAAGUUCGAUGGCGACCGGCGCACGGGUGAGUAACGCGUAUCCAACCUUCCGUACACUCAGGAAUAGCCUUUCGAAAGAAAGAUUAAUACCUGAUGGUAUGAUGAGAUUGCAUGAAAUCAUCAUUAAAGAUUCAUCGGUGUACGGUGGGGAUGCGUUCCAUUAGAUAGUAGGCGGGGUAACGGCCCACCUAGUCGACGAUGGAUAGGGGUUCUGAGAGGAAGGUCCCCCACAUUGGAACUGAGACACGGUCCAAACUCCUACGGGAGGCAGCAGUGAGGAAUAUUGGUCAAUGGGCGCGAGCCUGAACCAGCCAAGUAGCGUGAAGGAUGAAGGUCCUACGGAUUGUAAACUUCUUUUAUAAGGGAAUAAAGUCACCUACGUGUAGGUGUUUGUAUGUACCUUAUGAAUAAGCAUCGGCUAACUCCGUGCCAGCAGCCGCGGUAAUACGGAGGAUGCGAGCGUUAUCCGGAUUUAUUGGGUUUAAAGGGAGCGUAGACGGGUCGUUAAGUCAGCUGUGAAAGUUUGAGGCUCAACCUUAAAAUUGCAGUUGAUACUGGCGUCCUUGAGUACGGUUGAGGCAGGCGGAAUUCGUGGUGUAGCGGUGAAAUGCAUAGAUAUCACGAAGAACUCCGAUUG
rnacentral:rRNA from 1 species